rnacentral:tRNA from 1 species
GCGGAAGUGGUGGAAUAGGUAGACGCGCUAGGUUCAGGACCUAGUGGGAGCAAUCCUGUGGGGGUUCAAGUCCCCCCUUCCGCA